GGUGAGUAAUAUAUAGAUAACGUGCCUCUUAGUCUGGGAUAGCCAUUGGAAACGAUGAUUAAUACUAGAUACUCCUUCUUAUCACAUGAUAAGUCGGGAAAGUUUUUUCGCUAAGAGAUCGGUCUAUAUCGCAUCAGUUAGUUGGUGGGGUAACGGCCUACCAAGACAAUGACGCGUAGCGGGUUUGAGAGGAUGAUCCGCCACACUGGUACUGAGACACGGACCAGACUCCUACGGGAGGCAGCAGUGAGGAAUAUUGCACAAUGGGGGAAACCCUGAUGCAGCGACGCCGCGUGAGGAUGACGCAUUUCGGUGUGUAAACUCCUUUUAUGAGUCAAGAAAAUGACGGUAGCUCAUGAAUAAGCACCGGCUAACUCCGUGCCAGCAGCCGCGGUAAUACGGAGGGUGCAAGCGUUACUCGGAAUCACUGGGCGUAAAGGACGCGUAGGCGGGUUAUCAAGUCAGGUGUGAAAUCCUAUGGCUCAACCAUAGAACUGCACUUGAAACUGGUAACCUAGAGUAUGGGAGGGGCAGAUGGAAUUAGUAGUGUAGGGGUAAAAUCCGUAGAUAUUACUAGGAAUACCGAAAGCGAAGGCGAUCUGCUGGAACAUUACUGACGCUNCGGCGUGAAAGCGUGGGGAGCAAACGGGANAAGAAACCCCGGUAGUCCACGCCCUAAACGAUGAACACUAGUCGUCGGGGAGCUAGUCUCUUCGGUGAUGCACUUAACAGAUUAAGUGUUCCGCCUGGGNGNANGNNUACGGUCGCAAGAUUAAAACUCAAAGGAAUAGACGGGGACCCGCACAAGUGGUGGAGCAUGUGGUUUAAUUCAAAGAUACGCGAAGAACCUUACCUAGCCUUGACAUUGAUAGAACAUUUUAGAGAUAAGAUGGUGCCCUUCGGGGAACUUGAAAACAGAUGCUGCACGGCUGUCGUCAGCUCGUGUCAUGAGAAGUUGGGUUAAGUCCCGAAACGAGCGCAACCCUCGUCCUUAGUUACCAGAAGUCUGGCUGGGCACUCAAAGAAUACUGCCUUUAAAGAGGGAAGGAAAAUGACGACGACAUCUAGUCACAAUGGCCUUUAUUGCUA
rnacentral:rRNA from 1 species